AGGUGUUCUUGUGCAGGAGUCUUUGUUAGUGUACAGUAAUGCAACAAAAAUGACCUGCUACAAUAUGCAAGCUGCAAAAUGAAACACUCCAGCUUCCUGAUUGCGUGUCAUUUGAAGACCUGACUGUAAAGAAUAUGAAUAGGAACCCCAUAUGAAUAGAAAUCUGCUUUGAGGGACAACACCAGACUGCAGCAGCUGUCCACAGAAUGUGGCUUGAAGCCAGUGGUAAGGAAAUUUGGAGAGAAGAUUUACUAUGCCGUUUUUCAAGUCAUUAAUAAAUAAUGUGAAUAAUUGAGGCCCUAACACAGAUCCUAUGGGACACCACUAGUCAAAUCAUGCCAAUUUGAAUACCUACCCAUUAUCCCUACUUCCUUUCACUUUCUAAAUCCCCACAUGGUUGCAUUUAUAAAAUACUUUUGAGCUGCAGGGUGGCAGCAGACAACUGCAUUGCAGUCAGCAGGGAGGGUGACAAUGAGUGGCUGACAAUCUGGUUAAAGAUUUCUCACAGAUGAAGCCCAGGAGCAGCCUCUGUAAUCUGCCUCCUGAGGAACUGAAGUCACAUUGAAGAUGUUCAACAAAAUUAAAGUAGUUAUUGCUGUGCUC